rnacentral:rRNA from 1 species
UACGGGGGGAGCAAGCGUUGUUCGGAUUUACUGGGCGUAAAGGGCGCGUAGGCGGCCACUGCAAGUCGGUUGUGAAAUCUCCGGGCUUAACUCGGAAAGGUCAAUCGAUACUGCAAGGCUAGAGUGCAGAAGGGGCAACUGGAAUUCUCGGUGUAGCGGUGAAAUGCGUAGAUAUCGAGAGGAACACCUGCGGCGAAGGCGGGUUGCUGGGCUGACACUGACGCUGAAGCGCGAAAGCUAGGGGAGCGAACGGG